AUUUAAUAUAUAUGGAUAUAUAUAUUUACACUUAAUUUUGUUUUACCAAGUAAUGGAUAGCAGAUUUGAUUGUCUUUUAUAUAGACUGGAUGUAAUAUUAUGAUACAAAUUUUUCCAAUAUGGCGGAACAUUGCAGUGAUAAUACACCUCAAGCUGCUAUCAUGUGUCUGUUUUGCAAUCAACCAAAUGUAAAAUGGAAAUGUGAAGAGUGUGGUCACAUGUGCAAUGCGUGUAAAGAAAAAGUUCACAAUAGACUAACAUCAUCGCAUAAGCACACGAUUUCAUAUCUUAAAGAUAUUGGAAAGAACAUUUGUUUCGAAGAUCAACCAUGGUACCACGGUAAUAUAACGCGCAAUGAAGCAGUGAAGUUACUUCAAAAACACAAACGUAUGGGAGACGGUGCUUUUCUCGUACGGGAAAGUCGAUCAAAUAUUGGUAGCUUUGCGAUAGACUGUAUGGUGAGUGGUGAACCAAGACAUGUACAGAUACAACCAAAGGAGAAGUCUGGACAGAUGAAGUAUUAUGUAGGUGAAGAACCAUUUGAUGGACUUAAUGAUGUUAUCGAAUUUUUCAAAUCAAAUGUGAUAGUAUUGUCAACAACUGGUCCUUCAACAUGUAUUGUAAGACUUACUGAACCUGUUCUGCAAGAAACUUACAUGUAAUACAUAUGUGAUGUUUAAAAGAUGCAUGGCCGAUGACUAAAAGACAUCCUCGGACACACUCGAAGUUGAUUAAAAUAUUAUUCCAUUUUACUUUAGAUCUGUUAUUCUUUUCUUUUUAUUUAUCUUCCGAGUUUUUUCAAUUGACCGUUUGUAUGUGCAUUACAUCAUUAAAAGAAAGAACUAUAAAGGCAACAUUAGUAUACCGCUGUUCAAAUAAGUAUACACAUGUGAAAAAACAGCUUUGUAAUUGAUAUCUCAAAAGUAAUAACUUCAAGUGUAAAGCAAGAAAAAAACUGUUACCCUAGUAUCAAUAUACAUGUACUUUAACCGACAGAAAUUGAACCGGCUAGAACAAAUUCCUUUAACAAGUAUACCUGAACUGAUUUCGCGCAAUUCCAAACUGUAUAUAGAAACAAAACUAGUUUCGAAACAAGGCUUAAACCCCUAAACUGAGCAAUCAAUCUAAGAAGGCGCCAAACAUAUCAGCAGAAUAACAAAUAUAGCCAGCCGAUAUCGUGUAAAAUAAGGUAUGUUAAAAUAACAUAUUUCAACAAGUAUGGAUACUGGCAACAUCAGCAAAUAUCGAUACUGGCAUAUGGAUCCAUGUGUAUCGCUCUCAAAAUCAAUACAUGUACAAUCUUAUCAAGAAAAAGUUUUCAUUAUUAAUUUAAUGGUCUUUUAAAAAUUCAAUAUGCAAAUGUAUUUGCAUUAACUCGCGUAAAGCCUUUUUCUGUAACGAAAAAGGAAAGUAAGCUAGAUACACUUACUGGAAAUGUGAAGAUAUGAUUGAAGCUUUAAAUUUUCUCCUGGACAACAUAUAUGUACGUUUUGGCGAUAAAGUGUAUCGACAGGUAGUAGGUAUUCCUAUGAGCACUAACUACCCCCUUUAAUAGCAGAUUUGUUCCUAUAUUGCUAUGAGUCACAGUUUAUGGUCAAACUCAGUAAAGACACGUAAUUGUUACAUUUGGUUGACAACAAUACUCACCGUUAUCUGGAUGAUAUUAUUUUGUUAAAUAAUCCAGAGUUCUCUAAAUAUACUACCUAAAUUUACCCAAAGGAACUUACUUUCAAUAAUUCUAACAUAAACAGCAGUAGUUGUUCUUUUCUAGAUUUAGACAUUUCAAUUUCUGAAGGGAAACUCCAUAUUAAAAUUUACGACAAAAGAGACGAUUUGUCAUUCCCUCUUGUUAAUUUCACCUUUUUAGACGGCAAUCUUCGUUUUGCUCCAUCAUACGGGGUUUAUAUAUCCCAACUCGUUCGUUAUGCCCGUAUGUGUAGUGCUGUCAUAGAUUUUAACGAACGUAAUCAAUGUAUUACUGGUAAACUAUUAAGUCAGGAAUUUCGUUACCAUAAAUUACUGAAAACAUUUGCUAACUUCUUUCAUAGAUACAAAGAUUUGAUUAGUAUAUUUGGCUGUUCCUGUAGAAAACUUAUCAAAAAAGGUAUUUCACAUCCUAAAAUGUAUGGUCAUAUUGUACUAAAAGCGCGGAAAUCACUAUGUGAUCCGUGUAAACUCAUCGAACCUUUAAACAUACGUAUUAGUAAAGGUUAUCUUAUUAAUAUAAGAUUUUUGAAUAUUGUUUACAUUGGCACUUACAUUGAUUUUGUCAUCAACAAAUUAAAACAUAACUGAAUUUGUAUUCUUAUCGAAUGGUUUUUUGGGAUGCAUAAAUACACAUCCACGUUUGUUUUCUGUUUACAGAUUGUUUCCCUCGGUUUUGGUUUGUGACCCGAAUUUGUUUUCUCUCAAUCGAUUUAUUACUUUUGAACACCGGUAUACUACUGUUGCUUUUAUUUAUCUA